CAGUAGCCGCGGUAAUACAGAGGGUGCGAGCGUUAAUCGGAUUUACUGGGCGUAAAGCGUGCGUAGGCGGCUUCUUAAGUCGGAUGUGAAAUCCCUGAGCUUAACUUAGGAAUUGCAUUCGAUACUGGGAAGCUAGAGUAUGGGAGAGGAUGGUAGAAUUCCAGGUGUAGCGGUGAAAUGCGUAGAGAUCUGGAGGAAUACCGAUGGCGAAUGCAGCCAUCUGGCCUAAUACUGACGCUGAGGUACGAAAGCAUGGGGAGCAAACAGGAUUAGAUACCCCAGUAGUCCCUGUCUCUUAUAC
rnacentral:rRNA from 1 species